CUGGGACAAUAGGCCAAGAAGAAUGUCAGGCCAGAGAAAGGUGUCCAUAAGAAGAAUACAAAAUGCAGAAUUCAGAAAUAGCUGUUGUGCCAGAUGAACAAGAUAGGGACUAUAAGAGAGAGCCCUAGCAGCUGCCUGGUUUCAUUACAAGUCCCACAGGACAGGCUGUGCCUAAUAUUAGAGCCAAAUCCUGGUUCUCAAAGCAAAGCAUGAGACACUUUCAGCCAACCAGUCAAGGAGCAGAAUCAUUCGUGGGAAAGGCAAGCACUAGCUUCUGAAACUUUGGCUUUUUCUCCCUUGCCUGAAGAUUAAAACAAACAAAACAUUA